rnacentral:hammerhead_ribozyme from 1 species
GCACUUCUGAGGAGUCCCACAAUAGGACGAAACAGCUGUCCAGUGC